UACGUAGGGGGCAAGCGUUGUCCGGAUUUAUUGGGCGUAAAGAGCGUGUAGGCGGUUAGGUAGGUCCGUUGUGAAAACUCGAGGCUCAACCUCGAGACGCCGAUGGAAACCAUCUGACUAGAGUCCGGAAGAGGAGAGUGGAAUUCCUGGUGUAGCGGUGAAAUGCGCAGAUAUCAGGAAGAACACCCGUGGCUAAGGCGGCUCUCUGGGACGGUACUGACGCUGAGAAGCGAAAGCAUGGGGAGCGAACAGG
rnacentral:rRNA from 1 species